rnacentral:rRNA from 1 species
AUUGAACGCUGGCGGCAUGCCUUACACAUGCAAGUCGAACGGCAGCAUGGGUGCUUGCACCUGAUGGCGAGUGGCGAACGGGUGAGUAAUGCAUCGGAACGUACCCGGAAGUGGGGGAUAACGUAGCGAAAGUUACGCUAAUACCGCAUAUUCUGUGAGCAGGAAAGCGGGGGAUCGCAAGACCUCGCGCUUCCGGAGCGGCCGAUGUCGGAUUAGCUAGUUGGCGGGGUAAAGGCCCACCAAGGCAACGAUCCGUAGCGGGUCUGAGAGGAUGAUCCGCCACACUGGGACUGAGACACGGCCCAGACUCCUACGGGAGGCAGCAGUGGGGAAUUUUGGACAAUGGGCGAAAGCCUGAUGCAGCGACGCCGCGUGAGGGAUGACGGCCUUCGGGUUGUAAACCUCUUUCAGCAGGGAAGAAGCGAAAGUGACGGUACCUGCAGAAGAAGCACCGGCUAACUACGUG